rnacentral:tRNA from 1 species
GGCGGGGUAGCCAAGUGGUAAGGCAGAAGUUUGCAAAACUUCCAUUCGCGGGUUCGAUUCCCGCCCCCGCCUCCA